rnacentral:rRNA from 1 species
GAUGAACGCUGGCGGCGUGCUUAACACAUGCAAGUCGAACGGUGAAGUGAGGAGCUUGCUCCUUGCGGAUCAGUGGCGAACGGGUGAGUAACACGUGAGUAACCUGCCCUUGACUCUGGGAUAAGCACUGGAAACGGUGUCUAAUACCGGAUACGACCUCCGAAGGCAUCUUCUGGAAGUGGAAAGAAUUUCGGUCAAGGAUGGACUCGCGGCCUAUCAGCUAGNGGUGAGGUAACGGCCCACCAAGGCGACGACGGGUAGCCGGCCUGAGAGGGUGACCGGCCACACUGGGACUGAGACACGGCCCGGACUCCUACGGGAGGCAGCAGUGGGGAAUAUUGCACAAUGGGCGCAAGCCUGAUGCAGCAACGCCGCGUGA